UAGUCCUAGUCAGACUCCAUUGCCGCUGCACGCUGCUCAGACUCCGUCGCCGCUGCACGCUGCUCAGACUCCGUCGGCUUUCUUGUUGCAAUAUCCUCGCUGUUUGCUUGUUUUUCGUCGUCGUCGUCGUCAUAGCUGUUUCUCAUCGCCCGUGCCUUAUCUGCUAUAGAGAAUAUCAGCAUAAAAGGGGAUUGAGGCUGCAGAAAAUGGAUUAUCAACGGCGCAGAAGGGAAUUGAAGCUGCUGAUGAAGAGAGUGAAACGGCGGUGAGCUUCAGAGCAUUAGCACAAGCUAGCGCUGGUGAGCUUCGGCGAUGAUCCUCUUAUUCUUGGAUUUCUCCUAAGCUGCAAUCAAUUUCUUAAAACCACAGCAUGUUAUUUUCUUAGAUAUCGGCCUAGCUUGUGCACCAAAUAUUCCCCAUUAUGCAAUAAGGAAAUAAAGCAGUUGGUAUAAUGAAGGCGGGCUAGACCUUUGGAUGUCUCCUUGGCCUCGCUACUGGUCUUUGUGUUGCCGCAUUUAACCGCAGGAUGAUGGACAAACCCAAAGACAACACCUUCUUCAACUGCGCUGGCUGCUGGUUGUGCUGCAAUACAUAAACCAUCUGAACUAGCUUCAAUUACAUGUUUGGAGUUGGGUGAAGUGUGUAAAGAGGUUGGCCUUCCUCCUGGUGCCCUUAACAUUCUAACAGGGUUGGGACAAGAAGCAGGUGCUCCUUUGGUGUCUCAUCCUCAUGUUGACAAGGAAACUGUGACCAACUUGAAGCAAACACAACCUCAAGAGGCUAUGAUACACAGGAAAUCCAACAUUGGGUCAUCAACUUCACAUUCAUCUUGCGAAGCUCGAAUUAAGCAAUUAGAGGAGCAAAAUCAAGUGAUGCAACAGCAGCAACAAGAUAUGCAUGAGGAAAAUCGGAGGAUCCGUGAUAUUGUUCAGAAAAUGGAAGCAACACUUGCCCACUUUAGUGCAAAUCUUGGUAGUCUUGAUCAAGAUCCAAACAAAAAUAGCUCCAAUGAUGAUACACUAGCCCCCUCUAGUCAAGAUUAGAUAGCAUAUUAUUUGAAUGAUUUGAAAAUUUGUUUUGGAUGGUGAAACAUAGCUACAAACAAUAGCUGUAUUUUUUAUUGUGAAGCAACUGCUACACUUUGGAUUUAAAUGAUUCUAAUGUUUGAUUCCCUUCAAUUGUUAA